GCUUCUCUAGCUUAGUGGUUAUAGCGUUCGCCUAGUAAGCGGAAGGUCGCGCGUUCGACUCGCGCGAGAAGCA
rfam:Tritrichomonas foetus strain K scaffold_220, whole genome shotgun sequence.